rnacentral:rRNA from 1 species
UACGGGGGGUGCGAGCGUUGUCCGGAAUCACUGGGCGUAAAGGGCGCGUAGGUGGUCUGAUAAGGGUGUGGUGAAAGUCCGGGGCUCAACCUCGGAUCGGCCGUGGCGACUCGUGGGCUGGAGCACUGUAGAGGCGGGUGGAAUUCCGGGUGUAGCGGUGGAAUGCGUAGAGAUCCGGAAGAACACCAGUGGCGAAGGCGGCCCGCUGGGCAGUGGCUGACGCUGAGGCGCGACAGCGUGGGGAGCAAACAGG